rnacentral:lncRNA from 1 species
UGAUCAUUAGGGAGGCAACAUGCGACUUUCUUCUACCAAGUUACUACUAUUUAUAAAUUUACAUCGGUUUUAAUGAUUGACGUCAAACAUGUUGUAACACCAAUCAUGGUGAAUACUAUAUCACCUUCUAUUUAUUUCUUUAUUCCAGACCAUUGUAUUCAAAUUAUGAUGUUACACAAUUAUACCUAAUUACGGUUUGAUGUAUCCUUAAACUAAACAGAUUUUUGAGUCCUUAUUAGCAACAUUUGAUAUUUAACUCGCAUGCAUCAUCCUAGUAAGAAAUCAUAUGUUUAUUUACUAGGUUUGGUAAUCAAUGUGAAUAAAUUAAAUGAGCCUUGAUGAAAAUUUACGAUAUACCCUAAAAAGUGGGGUAAAGAAUCACACAUAAGUUCCAUCUUUUGUUAGAUCAAAGUGGGAUGAGACCUCAAAUGUAUUACUAAGAACACCUCAUAGUUGUAUCCUUAAUCUUAAUGUACUGAGCAUGCCCAUGUUGCUUCAGGCAGCCCCAUAAAUGAUGCUAGACAUCACCUCGGGUGUCUUUCAAAUUUAUACUAGACAUGCAUCAUAUUAAAUCUCAUUGAUUCCCAAAAGAUUCAAUCUAAUAUAGGUAAAAUCAUACCAUGAGCAAGAUUCAACCCAACAAAAAGAAGCUCAAAAUAAGAGGUGAUACCUCAUAGAUGUCUAGGAUCUUUGAAUAUAUUGAGGUGACACCCUAUAUAGUGCAUGAAUAACUUUGAAUACCAUCCGUUGAAUUACCUCCGUCCAAUGAAUGAUAGGAGGCAAAUCCAAGCAUCCGCGUCCAAUGGAUUAACUAAUUGGUUGCACCAGAUUGUGCCACCUUGCAUCUCUAGACAUCUCUAUCUUGCCAGUCGUAUGAGGUGGUUAUGUGGUCUGGCGUGAAUGAAUCGAAGUUGUAGUAGUAUCAUGUUGCUAUGUGCUUUUCUAGAAAUCUGUAUCUUGCCAGUUGUAGUAGUAUCAAUAGUUGGGUUUCCCGGCUCCUGUGCUUGCCUCUAACGCUCACGACCCAUUCGGCUAAGAGUGUAAAGGGAGAACCACUACGACUGCGCCGACAUUUCAAUUGUAUCAGCGGCUCAGUGGAGAAAGGCGAAAACUAACUGUCCUUGUAAGCGUAAACUAUUCGGCAAUGGGAAGACAGUGUCAAACAAUGGUUCGUUGCAGAUCAUCCACGUAAAACGAGGGGCUUUUCUUCAAAUAGGCAGAAGUGAAUAGCGGCUUAAACCCCGACCAGUUGCAGACCACUUCACACAUCAGGGGCUAUUCGCUAGUACCCACAGUUAAGAUCUUAAAGACUAAGUGAAAGCUAUGAAACCAAAAUAGUCGGAUUACUUCAUUUCAUAUGCGUGGACCGCCUUUGGGAACCAAGACAUCGGCUAAGGGUUGAAACUGCACAUGAAACACCCUUUGUAUCAUGUGCUUGCCUCUAAAGCCAAUUCGGUCACACAAGAGUAAAAAUAUAAGGGCAAAUAAAUAUAUACGCUCGUACAUUGGAACAUAAAGCUACAUUUAUUACCAAACAAAAAGCAUGUCUUUACAUCGUGCUAACUUUGUCAUUCCGAAGUAUAAUGUGUCCUUGGGACACCGCUCCUCAGUGAUCUGAGCUCCCUCCAUCACCCCAAUCAAGUACUACUCCACGGUCUGAUUCUUCCCUUCAGGGGGCCUGAGGCCAUGAGCGUCACAUCAAUACGCCGAUAGUUAGUCGCCAUGCAAGCAUACGCCCAUUGGAUGCCCUCCAGUGAUUCACCUGAGGGCCGACCUCUCGCAGGUGGGCCUGUGGACCGAAGAAGAUGCUAUGCAGCGCUGCCGCGGGCCAGAGCUGGACGUAAAGAUCUUGCAGUGCCGGCUUCACCAUCCGAAAAAGCUCCAUGAGUAGCUUCAUUUGGUUAUUGAGCAGCUCUGGGUACGAUGGUGCCUGGAACAGAUUCUAGAACGCCUUCUCCGUGGCAUGUACCUCUUGAGCACCGAAGUAGCGGCCGACGUAUGAAGCGCUCCUCAUGAGGUCCCUGAAAGCCUCUGCGGAUCGCCAUACUUGGGUGAGCUCAAUGAACCCCUUGCGGCAAAAAAUACACUGAUGCAAAAAACGGCUUACCAACAACGAUUUGCUUCACUUGCUGCAGCACUUUGCGGUCCGCCCGGGCCUGGGUCUGGACCUCAGCGUAUGCCAGGCUCUUGAGCUCCGUGGUUACCUUCUUCUCAUCUACCUGAAAGGCGUCGUGAUCAACGUACAUGCCUUUAAGGGUGUCCUUGACCUUGAUGACCCGGCCCUGGUCGUUUCCCCGAGUUACCCUUUCUUCGGCUAGCUCCUUCUCGGCCCGAGCGGCUGCAGCCUUUGCUGCUCCGCCUCACGCCGAGCUCUACUUAGCUCAACCUUAAGAGCCUCAAGCUCUGUCACUACGGCUAUCAAAACCAAAGGCUCAGGUAUUAGCAUUAUAUCAUAAAACAAUACGCAAAGUAAAUUUGAUAGCAUGGUGCUUUUUUAGCCUAUACCUUGAGCCUGCUUAUCGUAGUUUUGUCACGGCAAUAUGUCCUUGUGAAAUGACUUAGUGGUGAGGCCAUCGCACCUAGGUGGUAGCUUGAACGGGGUUGGUUGGAGUUGAGAGACACAAGUUUUACCCAGGUUCGGCCCCUCGUGAUGUUGGAAAAAUCCUACAUCCUGCUUAAUUGAUAUUGAUGAUGGUGAUGAUCUUGAUUACAAUGGUGCUAUUUUGCUACCUCUCAUCUCGAGAGCAUCUACUUUGAUCUUGUCUAAUACUUGUCUGUCUACCACCCUUUGGGGUGCGUUGCCCUUCCUUAUAUAAGUUGAAGGGGCGCCUUCAUGUAGAGUCCUAGUAGGAUUACAACUAGUCUCCUUUCUAUUUCAAGCCGGAGUCUAGUUCGGGUCUUCUCCUGGCAAGGUUCGUCGGCCGGGUCGUGAUCUUCCUGGCUGGGUUUACCCAGUCUGGGCCUUCUCCAUGAGCCGGCCUCCAGCCUCUUCGUGAGCUGGCUUUCUACUUGGUUGCACACUGGGCCUUUAGUCCUUGUCGUCCAGGUCGACCCGUUAAGUCAGGUGACUCAUGGGCCGCCAAGUGAUGGGCCGGGUUACACCUCCUGGACAGGUCAAACCAUGGGGAAUAUCCCCAACGUUAGCCCUAGUUUAAUUUGAAUUUAUCCAUGUUAAACUUAUCCUGAAAAAUAACACAAGAACAAAUUUGAUAGGUUAUGCACCGGGUCGAGGGUUCUUCUGGACCAACGUAUGUUCAUCCUAUAGUCCUUGUCCUUUCCUUCUUUGAAGACACCCGACCGAGUCAAUCUUUGUCAGGUCGUGCAAAUUUUCCACACAUAGAAAUUAUUGAGUUACUCCAUAUCAUGACAUCAUCUCAACCACCUUGAUACAUGUCCAUGAUCUCAUAACUAAUCUUUUUUUAGCAGAUAUGUCAAACUUUGUCAAUGCAAAAAUUCAAGCGCUUCAUCAAUGGAAUUCCUCUUGGAAAGUCUGAGUCUCUUUGUUACAUCACUGGGACGGCUUCAAAAUCAACUAUAUGACGCUGGUUUCUUGUAGAAAAAUAUUGGGGGAAAAAUAAUCCAUUUGAGUCGGCUUUCAAUGCUCUAGUUCGACAAAAUUAUUGGACUUAAGAUAUCCUUAUGAUACUGAGCCGGCUUUGAAUACGUCGGCUUGAUAAAAAAAUUGGACUUAAGAUAUCCGUCUGAUAAUCAGUCAGCUUGAGGAUGUAGAGCUUGUCGAGUUGCGAUCGUCGAAGUUGCCGAGUUACAGAGAUUGAUGAUGCCGGGCCAUGAUUGUUCCUGACAAUGGGUCAUGAUUGUUGCUAACAGUAGUUCAUGUAAUUUUUUGUCCUUGGUUUCUUCAGACCAAGUCCUUAUAGGAAGGAUCCUCCCAGGUUGGGUUUUCCCAGCCCGGGUCAAUCUGAAUUUUAUUUCAACUCCAAUAUAUGUAUCAACUGUAACCCCAAGCUUGAGUUAGCACCUUGUGAUGACUUGGUGCUUGCUUUUGUAAUUAUAGCUUCAAAUUGUUGAGUCGGUUUUCUGGGCCUUUCUAUGAAUAGCUUGGAGGAGAUAAACUUUGCAAAUUUCUCAACAAAAAAUAUGUUAUAUAUGUAAGUUUCUUAGAAUUUCGUCAAGUUUCUUAAUAAGUUAUUUUCACAUAUGUCAACAAUUUUUAACUUGGUGUCUGAAUUAAAAUUGCUCAAAUACCCUUGUAAAAUUGCUAAACUCGUAACUAAUUAAGUUCAUUUUGGAUCACAAAAUUUUAUAUAUGGUUUAGGAAAGUACAAAUGUGUAGAUUGCAACUAAACUCAUAGCUAAUUAACUUUAUUUUCACAUAUACCAUUGAGUUUCAGGUUAGCAGCUCCUAUAAUACAGUUUAGGGAAGAACCUUAAUUAUCCUCAUUAAAUGCCAUGAGGUAUUUUUGAGGGAUCCUAUCUAAAUAUUUCCCACCUCAUUUAAUAUGACUAGAUAGAGUAGUUUACUUCUGUUUCACCGCCUUGCCAUGUUGCAGCAUUUAAUAUUGUUGUGUAAUUAAAUGCCUUUCCGAUUAGUGCUUUCCAAAGGAGUACACUGAGUGUUACAUCUCAAGGCGUCUGUUGAGUUCUGAUGCAACGAAGAAAUUUAUGGUUACAUCAAAUCACACAAUUUAUUAAAAGAAUACAUGUUUUAUGAACAUAUUAAAUCACACGGUUCACCUAGAAUGUAACAUGUGCAAUACAUAACUAGAUUAAAGUGAUUUUUUGAACUUUUGCAUGUGCUAUUGACAGUACAAUGCACACGUUCCAUCUGACAUGUAACGUGUGUGAUGACUAGUAUCAUCGCAAAUGGUAUAUGGGAAGAAACAACAAGAGAUAGUUAUGCCAUCACAAGCAAUUUAAUGAAAUGAAUUGGCAGUGAUUGACUCCAUAUUCUCAUAUGAUUCUUGGUUUAGAAAUCACGUGGGAUGGUUUUAUGAUUGCAAACAUUUCCCUGUGGUCAGUUAUGGACUCCCCUAUAGCCAACCCACUCAAUCACAUGGUAUCGGAAACAUUAUGAGGUGCCAUGUUGUUAAGACUACAAUGUCAAUGCCAUCUGAAGAAGUUAAAACAUGGGUUUUUUUACCUGUUUUUGGAAAAAUGAAAGAUAAAGAAUAACCUAACAGAUUAUUAUGAGAGCACAAUGAUUCAUGUUGUUGAUGGGCACCUCACAUAUUGCCAUGAGAGCAUCAAUUAUCAAUGUUAACUAAGAUAGUGAUCUUUCCUCGCUCAGGAAGCUUACCUUAAUAUGACUAUAGAUAUGAUGGCCUUGGGUUGCGAAGUGCCACCAAACAAAAAAAUAUGAUAAAUAUGACCAAGUUUUUUGAGGUGUAUAUAUACCAAGGGUAUCAGAAAUCAACCCCAACCGGGUGUGCAUAAGAACCUAGGCAGGGUGUCCAUGCACCAAUGUCCUUCCUGACCUUGUUCCUUGGACUUUUGAUUCCCUUCCUUUAUUAAAUUGAACCUCCUAAUUUUCCAGACUUCCCCUGGAACUCCAAAAACCUAUUUUCACUUAAAGCAUAAGUAUUGAAAACAUGAACUAGCUCUACAAAAUUGAUUAAUAUGUUGGUCCAAAUAAAUUUGAAUAUUUUUGUAAUUAAUAGAAUUAUGGAAUGAAUAGAACAAAAAACAUAGAUAAAUUAAGAAGAUAUCAUUGGUUCCCUUUUGUAGCCAAUGUGCUUUACCGUCAAUCUUAGUUUGGAUGCUAUAUAAAUAGUAAUGCACUUAUCACCUGUCAAUGUGCGGAAUGAUUCAGUUCAACAAGCUAAACUUAGAUAGGUGAUAGAUAUACUAUUUAUUUUAAGUUGUAAGACGUGUGCCAAGUUUAGUUCACUUAGUUGUAUUCCUCUGGUUAAUUUUGCUUCCUUGCUUUCCUCUUGGCCUUACGACCUAACUAUUUAUACUAUCUAUAGGGCACGGACAUUAUAAGAACCUCCGAAUGAUAGAAACCAAAACACACACCAUCUUCACAACAUUCUUUGCCUUCUCUCAGAAAAAUCACCGACAUUCUGCCAUUAUACCAUGGAGGCCUGGAGGAAGACAACCAUGUGUUGCUUGAUUCUUUUCUGCCUUAUGGCUACAUGUAGUAAGUAUAAUUAUCCAUAGUAUCAGCAUUUCGCCGAAGUUUCAUGCUGUGUAAUGACAUAUCAACAUUGCUGGACACAUUCAUUCAUAUUACUUCUCCUAACCUUGUCUAUUUAUCCAUAGGUGAGGUUUCAUCUACCGAAAACAUGUGCUAUCACAACCAUUGGAAUAAAUGCCAUCCUGAUCAAAAUGGAAUGUGUCGAGAUAGUUGUGUGAAAGAUGGAUGGGAUGAUGGACAAUGCCGGAACAGGUUUAAAAGACUAAAGGGUGCCAAGUGCGAAUGUUACCCUAAGACUUGUGAUCAUUAGGGAGGCAACAUGCGACUUUCUUCUACCAAGUUACUACUAUUUAUAAAUUUACAUCGGUUUUAAUGAUUGACGUCAAACAUGUUGUAACACCAAUCAUGGUGAAUACUAUAUCACCUUCUAUUUAUUUCUUUAUUCCAGACCAUUGUAUUCAAAUUAUGAUGUUACACAAUUAUACCUAAUUAUUGUUUGAUGUAUCCUUAAACUAAACAGAUUUUUGAGUGCUUAUUAGCAACAUUUGAUAUUUCAC